GGGUCAGUAGGCUGGUCGUGCCACCGGUACGUACUGGUCUCACUGAUUCCUCCUUCCUGAAGAACCGUAAUGCCAUUAAUUUGGUGUUGCGGGGAAACAGGACUGUUACUUUGAAAAAAUUAGAGUUUUUAAAGCAAGCUAACGCUUGAAUACAUUAGCAUGGAAUAAUGAAAUAGGACGAUCGAUCCUAUUUUGUUUGUUUCUAGGAUUGACGUA
rnacentral:rRNA from 1 species